CAGGUACAACUGUUUAUUUCUGGUUGAUUCAGUAGCAGCAUUGGGAGGUACUCCUAUCUGCAUAGAUGAGCAAGGUAUUGACAUUAUGUAUACUGGCUCUCAGAAGGUUUUGAACGAACCUCCAGGAACUGCACCAAUCUCCUUCAGUGAGAGAGCAUGCCAGAAAAUAUUUAACAGGAGGACAAAACCAAUCUCUUACUUCUUGGAUAUGAGCUGGUUGGCAAAUUACUGGGGUUGUGAUGACAAGCCUGUACG